rnacentral:rRNA from 1 species
AUUGAACGCUGGCGGCAGGCUUAACACAUGCAAGUCGAGCGGAGAGAGGUAGCUUGCUACCGAUCUUAGCGGCGGACGGGUGAGUAUUGCUUAGGAAUCUGCCUAUUAGUGGGGGACAACAUUUCGAAAGGAAUGCUAAUACCGCAUACGUCCUACGGGAGAAAGCAGGGGAUCUUCGGACCUUGCGCUAAUAGAUGAGCCUAGGUACGAUUAGCUAGUUGGUGAGGUAAAGGCUCACCAAGGCGACGAUCGUUAACUGGUCUGAGAGGAUGAUCAGUCACACUGGAACUGAGACACGGUCCAGACUCCUACGGGAGGCAGCAGUGGGGAAUAUUGGACAAUGGGCGAAAGCCUGAUCCAGCCAUGCCGCGUGUGUGAAGAAGGUCUUCGGAUUGUAAAGCACUUUAAGUUGGGAGGAAGGGCAGUAAGUUAACACCUUGCUGUUUUGACGUUACCAACAGAAUAAGCACCGGCUAACUCUGUGCCAGCAGCCGCAGUAACAC